AUGAACGCUGGCGGCGUGCCUAACACAUGCAAGUCGAACGAAGCACCUUACCUGAUUCUUCGGAUGAAAGUUUGGUGACUGAGUGGCGGACGGGUGAGUAACGCGUGGGUAACCUGCCCUGUACAGGGGGAUAACAGCUGGAAACGGCUGCUAAUACCGCAUAAGCGCACGAGGAGACAUCUCCUUGUGUGAAAAACUCCGGUGGUACAGGAUGGGCCCGCGUCUGAUUAGCUGGUUGGCAGGGUAACGGCCUACCAAGGCAACGAUCAGUAGCCGGUCUGAGAGGAUGAACGGCCACAUUGGAACUGGGACACGGUCCAAACUCCUACGGGAAGCAGCAGUGGGGAAUAUUGCACAAUGGGGGAAACCCUGAUGCAGCAACGCCGCGUGAGUGAAGAAGUAUUUCGGUAUGUAAAGCUCUAUCAGCAGGGAAGAUAAUGACGGUACCUGACUAAGAAGCUCCGGCUAAAUACGUG
rnacentral:rRNA from 1 species